rnacentral:rRNA from 1 species
AUUGAACGCUGGCGGCAUGCCUUACACAUGCAAGUCGAACGGCAGCGCGGGAGCAAUCCUGGCGGCGAGUGGCGAACGGGUGAGUAAUACAUCGGAACGUGCCCAAUCGUGGGGGAUAACGCAGCGAAAGCUGUGCUAAUACCGCAUACGAUCUACGGAUGAAAGCAGGGGAUCGCAAGACCUUGCGCGAAUGGAGCGGCCGAUGGCAGAUUAGGUAGUUGGUGAGGUAAAGGCUCACCAAGCCUUCGAUCUGUAGCUGGUCUGAGAGGACGACCAGCCACACUGGGACUGAGACACGGCCCAGACUCCUACGGGAGGCAGCAGUGGGGAAUUUUGGACAAUGGGCGAAAGCCUGAUCCAGCCAUGCCGCGUGCAGGAUGAAGGCCUUCGGGUUGUAAACUGCUUUUGUACGUAACGAAACGGUCUUUUCUAAUAAAGAAGGCUAAUGACGGUACCGUAAGAAUAAGCACCGGCUAACUACGUG